rnacentral:rRNA from 1 species
CCUACGGGCGGCAGCAGUGAGGAAUAUUGGUCAAUGGGCGAGAGCCUGAACCAGCCAAGUAGCGUGAAGGAUGACAGCCCUAUGGGUUUUAAACUUCUUUUAUAAGGGAAUAAAGUGCCCCACGUGUGGGGUUUUGUAUGUACCUUAUGAAUAAGCAUCGGCUAAUUCCGUGCCAGCAGCCGCGGUAAUACGGAAGAUCCGAGCGUUAUCCGGAUUUAUUGGGUUUAAAGGGAGCGUAGGCGGUUCCAUAAGUCAGUGGUAAAAUCUUGCGGCUCAACCGUACAUUGCCGUUGAAACUGGGGGACUUGAGUAUGGGAAGGGUACAUGGAAUUCGUGGUGUAGCGGUGAAAUGCUUAGAUAUCACGAAGAACUCCGAUCGCGAAGGCAUUGUACUGGAGUAAGACUGACGCUGAGGCUCGAAAGUGCGGGUAUCAAACAGGAUUAGAUACCCGGGUAGUC